AUGAUAGACUGCAGGAAAAGACUACUUCAGAGGACUCGCUUUUCAGGAGCAGCAGAGAUGAAUUCUCCCGUGGGGCUAGUAGAAGAAAGCAAGCCAGAGUCGUUUUUAGGGAAAGGAGUAACCUCUGCAGGUCGAUAUCAGGGGGCGAGGGUUUCUAGCUGCCAGGUGAUUUGCAAUCAGACUAGAAGGAAAAAACUGGCAACCAGGGGCCCCUUUAUAGGAAGAUGGCUGGAUGAGGGCUGCAGAGGGGUGCUGGGGGUAGACUGCGUAUUUCUGCAGCAGAUGCCCGGUCGCUAUGCCCGUGGAUUCGGAGGUGUUCAGUUUCUGGGAUCAAUUAAGACUCGCUGGCUGAGCCCUCGCUGCAUCGCCGCUUUCACCUGCUCCUGCUUCCUCUGCAUAGGUGGAAGCCCGUGCCAAAGACCUAGUGGCCAGGCCCGAGGGAGCCUGAACGCAGAGGCCUUUUGUCUCCAGACAGAGAGCAGCGCCUGCUUUUUUCCACUCUCACGGGGCACGGCACUGGGUCACCAGCGAGUCUCAGCCUCCAGCAUCUCGAGCGAGGGAGUCGGGAAGAAACCAGUGGCUUUGGAGGGAUCGGAAAUUAAGGGACUAGAAGAAGGAUGUGAUUCCUAUUAUUCUCCCCCUCCCCCUCCUGCACACGACCAUGUGUCUCCUGGCUGGGCCUUUGGGGACGCGGCCCCUGGCCCUCCGUGGCCUGUGUUCCUGUUGUUCGCUUCUCUCCCAGCGGACCACUGUGUCUGGGGCGCCGCGCCCUCCGGUGCGCUCAGACCUCGCGCCCUCCGACCGGCUUCUCCCAGUCCCCGGGAGGAGGCGCUGUGCCCGGGCUGGCCUCUGGUCCCUCCCAGCCGAUGUCCUGGAGCCCCCAUUCACAAAACCCCUCCUGGAAGAGGACACACACCCACCCACCCACACACACACACACACACCCCACACACGCACUACGAGAAGGGGAGUUUGAUCUUGUCUCAUUGGCGUCUCGGGUCUGAAAGGAAAAUCGUUUGGGUAAACAGCCAAGCUUCCAGGCUUAACGCCCGGCUCCCGCCCCCGCCCCUCCAUCCCCUCCUGCCUCCCCCACUCGCCUUCAACCCCACCCGCCACCCACACUCGGCUCCGCAGCCGGGCCCCGAGCGAGCUCCGCGAGUCCUGGCGAGAGCCGAGGGCUCCCCGGGUUCAAAGGGCCGCAGCCCCGAGGGAACGCCCUCCUUGCUGUGCCCCGGGGGGCAGAAGCGGACUGCUGGGCGGUGGGACCGGCCUGGGCCACGGUAUGCUACUGCUCAUACCGGCCUUGCUGGGAGAGGAUCCUUGAUGACUGGGACCUACAUGGAUGCCAGGAUGCCAAGGAGUCAACGCCUUGUUCCCUGGGUAGCUGGCUCAGGCUGGUUCUAACAGAGUCUAUUGAUGCAAACCAGAAUUUUGAAGCUUGGUUCACAAAGUUGAGACAACUCCAGCUUUCUUUGUUUUGGCUUAGUAAUUCUGACUUUUGAAAUCUCCUGUCGUGAACAAAUCUACACUGCACUUUAUUUCUUGCCCCGUCCUGGAAUUCAGCCACUCCUGCACUACAUUUCUUAAGGUGAAGAAGUGAAAGACGAAGACACCAAUCCAAGUGAACGUGUGUUAUUCUCUUCUAUAAUGCUAUUGUAUUAUAUUCCCUCUUUUUUUUAAAUUCUCUUGAUUUCUCUGCACAAAAGAGGGAAAUUCUUCCAAAGCAACGGAAAGUUUCCUUGAAAUACUUUUAUCUAGUCACACUUACAUAGUGUAAUGUCUCUCUCUUACAGCAUUGUACAGUUUGGGAUUUGUUUUUAAUCCUGUGGAAAAUGUCCUAACAGGGCUUUGGUGUAUCUUUGUUCCAAUUUCUACAUUGCUUGGGGAGGGGGAGAAGCUUUCUUUGUAUUAAAUGAAAUACACCACUACUUCAUUAAAUAAAUAGACACCUCAACCAUUAGUUGCUAAUGAAACAAAAAUCUAAGUAAAACAUCUAACUAUCCAAAUACUACAUUUUCUCUACCUUUGCCCCAAAAUGUGCCUCAUCUCCCUGCACCUCCAAAUAAUAUUUCUAGUGUUUUCAUUUUAUUAGUUUUGCAAUGUCACUGUCCAGAUAGAAUUAUUCGAUGACUUAAAACAACUUUCGUAAGAUUUUCAAGCCCUAAAUUAAAAAAUCAUAUUUCAAUACAA